UAGGGAAUAUUGGACAAUGGGCGCAAGCCUGAUCCAGCCAUCCCGCGUGAAGGAUUAAGGUCCUAUGGAUUGUAAACUUCUUUUCUCUGGGAAUAAAAACCGGUAUUUAUACUGGCUUGAAGGUACCAGAGGAAUAAGCACCGGCUAACUCCGUGCCAGCAGCCGCGGUAAUACGGAGGGUGCAAGCGUUAUCCGGAUUCACUGGGUUUAAAGGGUGCGUAGGUGGCUUUGUAAGUCAGUGGUGAAAGCCCGGAGCUUAACUCCGGAACUGCCAUUGAUACUGCUUAGCUUGAAUCAACUUGAGGUUGAUGGAAUAUUACAUGUAGCGGUGAAAUGCUUAGAUAUGUAAUAGAACACCGAUUGCGAAGGCAGUUCACUAAGGUUGUAUUGACACUGAGGCACGAAAGCGUGGGGAUCAAACA
rnacentral:rRNA from 1 species